rnacentral:rRNA from 1 species
GUGAGGAAUAUUGGUCAAUGGGCGGAAGCCUGAACCAGCCAUCCCGCGUGAAGGAAGGCGGCCCUAUGGGUUGUAAACUUCUUUAGUACAUGAAGAACAGGAUCUACGCGUAGGUUUAUGACGGUAAUGUACAAAAAAGCAUCGGCUAACUCCGUGCCAGCAGCCGCGGUAAUACGGAGGAUGCGAGCGUUAUCCGGAUUCAUUGGGUUUAAAGGGUACGUAGGUGGCCCUGUAAGUCAGUGGUGAAAAUCUGCCGCGUAACGGUAGGGGUGCCAAUGAUACUGCGGGGCUUGAGUACAGUUGAGGUAGGUGGAAUGUGUAGUGUAGCGGUGAAAUGCAUAGAUAUUACACAGAACUCCGAUUGCGAAGGCAUCUUACUAAGCUGAAACUGACACUGAUGUACGAAAGCGUGGGGAUCGAACAGGAUUAGAUACCCUAGUAGUCC